GAUCAUGGCUCAGGAUGAACGCUAGCUACAGGCUUAGCACAUGCAAGUCGAGGGGAAACGACAUCGAAAGCUUGCUUUUGAUGGGCGUCGACCGGCGCACGGGUGAGUAACGCGUAUCCAACCUGCCCACCACUUGGGGAUAACCUUGCGAAAGUAAGACUAAUACCCAAUGAUAUCUCUAGAAGGCAUCUGAAAGAGAUUAAAGAUUUAUCGGUGAUGGAUGGGGAUGCGU
rnacentral:rRNA from 1 species